rnacentral:rRNA from 1 species
GACGAACGCUGGCGGCGUGCUUAACACAUGCAAGUCGAACGGAAAGGCCCUGCUUUUGUGGGGUGCUCGAGUGGCGAACGGGUGAGUAACACGUGAGUAACCUGCCCUUGACUUUGGGAUAACUUCAGGAAACUGGGGCUAAUACCGGAUAGGAGCUCCUGCUGCAUGGUGGGGGUUGGAAAGUUUCGGCGGUUGGGGAUGGACUCGCGGCUUAUCAGCUUGUUGGUGGGGUAGUGGCUUACCAAGGCUUUGACGGGUAGCCGGCCUGAGAGGGUGACCGGCCACAUUGGGACUGAGAUACCGCCCAGACUCCUACGGGAGGCAGCAGGGGGGAAUAUUGACACAAUGGGCGGAAGCCUGAUGCAGCAACGCCGCGUGCGGGAUGACGGCCUUCGGGUUGUAAACCGCUUUCGCCUGUGACGAAGCGUGAGUGACGGUAAUGGGUAAAGAAGCACCGGCUAACUACGUG